rnacentral:rRNA from 1 species
UAAACAUGCAAGUCGAGCGGAUCUGAGGGAGCUUGCUCCCAAGAUUAGCGGCGGACGGGUGAGUAACACGUGGGCAACCUGCCUGUAAGACUGGGAUAACUCCGGGAAACCGGGGCUAAUACCGGAUAAUAUCUAUUUAUACAUAUAAUUAGAUUGAAAGAUGGUUCUGCUAUCACUUACAGAUGGGCCCGCGGCGCAUUAGCUAGUUGGUGAGGUAACGGCUCACCAAGGCGACGAUGCGUAGCCGACCUGAGAGGGUGAUCGGCCACACUGGGACUGAGACACGGCCCAGACUCCUACGGGAGGCAGCAGUAGGGAAUCUUCCGCAAUGGACGAAAGUCUGACGGAGCAACGCCGCGUGAGUGAUGAAGGUUUUCGGAUCGUAAAACUCUGUUGUUAGGGAAGAACAAGUAUCGGAGUAACUGCCGGUACCUUGACGGUACCUAACCAGAAAGCCACGGCUAACUACGUGCCAGCAGCCGCGGUAAUACGUAGGUGGCAAGCGUUGUCCGGAAUUAUUGGGCGUAAAGCGCGCGCAGGCGGUUCCUUAAGUCUGAUGUGAAAGCCCACGGCUCAACCGUGGAGGGUCAUUGGAAACUGGGGAACUUGAGUGCAGAAGAGGAAAGUGGAAUUCCAAGUGUAGCGGUGAAAUGCGUAGAGAUUUGGAGGAACACCAGUGGCGAAGGCGACUUUCUGGUCUGUAACUGACGCUAAGGCGCGAAAGCGUGGGGAGCAAACAGGAUUAGAUACCCUGGUAGUCCACGCCGUAAACAAUAAGUGCUAAGUGUUAGAGGGUUUCCGCCCUUUAUUGCUGCAGCAAACGCAUUAAACACUCCGCCGGGGGAAUACGACCGCAAGGUUGAAACUCCAAAGAAUUUGACGGGGGCCCCCACAAGCCGUGGAACAUGUGGUUUAAUUCCAAACCACCCCGAAAAACCUUACCGGGUCUUGAACUCCUCUGACAAUCCUAAAAAAGGAACUUUCCCCU